rnacentral:lncRNA from 1 species
AGUUUUUUAAUCAAUUUUUAAUUAUUUUUUCUUCUUCUUCUUCUCCAUUUUCAGCCUCCAUUUUUCAAGCUUAACUCCAUCCAUGGCAAAUGUUUUAAAAAUUUAAGAAAAGACCUAUUUCAAGAUUUAAAUAUUGAAAUAGUCAUGAAAUUCUUUUUUGGAGGAAUUUACUAUUGUAAUAUGGAAGUGGAUGUGAUUUUUCCUCUUCCUUCAAGGUUUCACUGGCCUUCAAACUUUGCUUUCACUGUAAGUGCUUUUUUUUUUUUCCAGUUAAUUUUAAUGAUUUAUAUUCAAUUUUACUGUUUUGUUAUUGAUUAAGAAGAAUGUGAAUUCAUGACUUAGCUUUAUUCUUCUAUAAUAAAAGGGCUAGUGUAUGAUUGAGAAGUGGGGUUGGGGUAGGGCAGCGUUUCUGCAAAAUAGUUAUUUUGGAGAAGACAAUUUAGAAGGUUGCAAAAUAUUUUUUGUUAAUUGGUUAAAUGUUUUUUUAAUUAUGUGGGCAAAAAUGCCACAUGUCAUUGAUUCAUUGGCUACUUUUUAUUUUUCUCAAAAUUCAUUAUUUAAGAAUGAUUUUAGGCACAAAUGACAAAUGUCGUCAUUUAAUUAAAAACUUUACGCGUCAUUCGCGAGUGCAUUACACACACAUUACAUAUUUUUGCUGAUUGUAAAGAAAGUAUCAAAAUGACACAACAUGACCUUACAUGAAGUGUCUAAAAUGAACUUUAUAAAUAAUUCACCCGAUUGUUAUCUAACCACUCAUGUAAUCAGAAUCAUAAAUAAUUCGCCCGAUUGUUACAUGAUUUCCCUUCAACUUAAAGACUCUGAUUUCGUCCAAAUCUUGACAAGGUUGGGAAAAUCCAAAAGAUAUUCAUUGAAAAAGACACUAACAAAAGAUAUUUAGUUUGUGAAUCAUUUACCUUGUUUCCUUGAGAUUCAAGUUUGGCUUGGAGCAAUUCUUCAAAGAAAAGAAUUUCGUCGAUUUUUCGCUGCAAAAGAUAAGGUACACAAUUCGUCGAUUUCUUUCUAUAGAUCCAACAAAUGGCAUUAAAGCCAGGUUUAAUUGUUCCCUGUUUGAAUAAUGAUUGAAAUUCUCUGGUUGAAUGAAUUGAGAAAUUUGAAAUAUGAUUAUAAAUAUAUUUAUCUUUGUCCAUUAUCGAUCUGUUUUCUUUUGGUUACUCGAUAUUCCUUUAUGAGUAGGAAAAAGAGAAAAGAUUUACUGACUUGAGUAUUUUUUCUUCCUUAUGGUUCUUUCAUUGAAUUUUGUUGAAGUUUUGUUUGUUGUUUCUCAUUUUUUUUCCCAUGAAAGUAACGGGAGAAGAUGAGUAAUAUUUAUAAAGAGUUAUUUUAUAGGUUGAAAAGGAAAAAGAUUUUGAGUUGAAUAAGAACUUGAAAAAGUCAACUUCUAUUUUUUUUUUGUUAAUAAAUAAAAAAAAUAAAAAUUGGAAGAGAGUUUAAGGGACAAGUCAUAUUCUUUUUGUUAAGGAUUAAAAGAGAAAAAUAAAAUGGUCUCACAACUUUUUCCAAUUGGAACGUGUGAACCUUUCCCUUCUUUUUUUUUUUGUCCUUUUCUAUAAGGAUUAAAGAGGAAAAAAAUUGUCCCACUAUUUAAAUAAAAAGAAAAAUGGAGUUUCUUUUUGUCCUUUUCUAUUAAGGAUUAAAAAGAAAAAAAAAAUGGUCCAAUUUUUUUUAUAAAAUACUUAUACCAUUUUCUUUGGUAUCAUAAAGAACUAUUUUUUUUUUAAUGAAGAAUAGACAAUGGUUUUGUAGUAUUUUUUUUAUGUUAACAAAGUAUUUAUUUUAUUAUUUACUUUAACAUAAGAUUUUUCAAGUGGUCAAAUUAGAUUGUGGUUGACUUUGAAUUUUUUUUGUAAAGCCAUAAGUUAUCUUCUUUACUUAACGAAGAAUAGUGAUAACUUGUUUUGACUAGAUUAUAAUUUUAAUUAUGUGUAUUAAAAUUGGUCUUGAAAAAAUCUCUUAGUCCUUUAAAUUCCUUAAACGGUUCCUUGUCUCCUACGAGAAAUUUGUGACAUACGUUAUCGCAUUAAAUGGUAUUAACUAUAUUUCCGUUUUUAUUUCCAUUUCAGAUAUGGUUGAACGGAAACAUGCUCAAAUUACUCCAAGUGGGAGUUCUCAAAGUCGAGCAAAGGGACAAGAUAGGAGAGCAAGCCGUCGUAAGACAUGUUUCUGAGGGCGUGAAAUCAUAAGAUUGGUGUCCCAAGGGCGACACAAAAUCUGUCAAGGAACCAAAGGGUCAUUCGAAGGGAAAAAGAGAAAAAAUUUAAAGUGUUUGAGUCAUUGAAGAUGUUCCCUAAUAUGUCAGCACGUGAUUUUAUUCACCUUUUUGAAAUAAAUGAGUUGAACUGGCUGAUUAAAAGGAAAUUUCAGAUUGGAGAGUCUUAGCUUAUUUAACAGACGCUCUCCAUGAACCUUGGGGUAGUAGAUUGACUGAUUUUUAUCAUGACAUUUGGUUUAGGGUUUACAUUUGUUGUCUUGAAGACUUGUGGGAGGAUUUCAGUCUUUGAAUUACUUGUAAAUUUUUAUUGCUUAUUUGUUUUUCAAGAUAUGAAUUAUGUAGUUUGUUUUCUCUCAAAUUAUGUUAUUAG